GAUGAACGCUGGCGGCGUGCCUAAUACAUGCAAGUCGAGCGAACGGACGAGAAGCUUGCUUCUCUGAUGUUAGCGGCGGACGGGUGAGUAACACGUGGAUAACCUACCUAUAAGACUGGGAUAACUUCGGGAAACCGUAGCUAAUACCGGAUAAUAUUUUGAACCGCAUGGUUCAAAAGUGAAAGACGGUCUUGCUGUCACUUAUAGAUGGAUCCGCGCUGCAUUAGCUAGUUGGUAAGGUAACGGCUUACCAAGGCAACGAUGCAUAGCCGACCUGAGAGGGUGAUCGGCCACACUGGAACUGAGACACGGUCCAGACUCCUACGGGAGGCAGCAGUAGGGAAUCUUCCGCAAUGGGCGAAAGCCUGACGGAGCAACGCCGCGUGAGUGAUGAAAGUCUUCGGAUCGUAAAACUCUGUUAUUAGGGAAGAACAUAUGUGUAAGUAACUGUGCACAUCUUGACGGUACCUAAUCAGAAAGCCACGGCUAACUACGUG
rnacentral:rRNA from 1 species